GAUGAACGCUAGCGACAGGCUUAACACAUGCAAGUCGAGGGGCAGCAUAAAAGUAGCAAUACUUUGGUGGCGACCGGCGCACGGGUGAGUAACGCGUAUGCAACCUACCUAUCAGAGGGGAAUAACCCGGCGAAAGUCGGACUAAUACCGCAUAAAACAGGGGCACCGCAUGGUGAUAUUUGUUAAAGAAAUUCGCUGAUAGAUGGGCAUGCGUUCCAUUAGGUAGUUGGUGAGGUAACGGCUCACCAAGCCGACGAUGGAUAGGGGAACUGAGAGGUUGGUCCCCCACACUGGUACUGAGACACGGACCAGACUCCUACGGGAGGCAGCAGUGAGGAAUAUUGGUCAAUGGGCGGGAGCCUGAACCAGCCAAGUCGCGUGAAGGAAGAAGGAUCUAUGGUUCGUAAACUUCUUUUGCAGGGGAAUAAAGUGCAGGACGUGUCCUGUUUUGUAUGUACCCUGAGAAUAAGGAUCGGCUAACUCCGUGCCAGCAGCCGCGGU
rnacentral:rRNA from 1 species